CCUCUUCCGCUUCCACUUCUGCUUCCGCUUCUGCUUCCACUCAAAUCCUUCAAGUAAUUUUCUGAGGAUUUACUGAGGCUUGCAGGUUUCGUAUUCAAUCCCAAAAAACCUUGCCCCAGAUCUUUGCUUUUCAAUUGCUCCUCCUCACUUCCGCUUCUGCUUCUGCUUCCGCUCAAAUCCUUCAAGUAAUUUUCUGAGGAUUUACUGAGGCUUGCAGGUUUCGUAUUCAAUCCCAAAAAUCCUUGCCCCAGAUCUUUGCUGUUCAAUUGCUCCUCCUCACUUCCGCUUCCGCUUCUGCUUCCACUCAAAUCCUUCAAGUAAUUUUCUGAGGAUUUACCGAGGCUUGCAGGUUUCGUAUUCAAUCCCAAAAAUCCAUGCCCCAAUUCUUUGCUUUUCAAUUGCUCCUCCUCACUUCCGCUUCCGCUUCCGCUUCC
rnacentral:lncRNA from 1 species